UACGGAGGGUGCAAGCGUUAUCCGGAUUCACUGGGUUUAAAGGGUGCGUAGGCGGGUAGGUAAGUCCGUGGUGAAAUCUCUGAGCUUAACUCAGAAACUGCCGUGGAUACUAUUUGCCUUGAAUAUUGUGGAGGUGAGCGGAAUAUGUCAUGUAGCGUGAAAUGCUUAGAUAUGACAUAGAACACCAAUUGCGAAGGCAGCUCACUACACAAUGAUUGACGCUGAGGCACGAAAGCGUGGGGAUCAAACAGG
rnacentral:rRNA from 1 species